GGCCGGAGAGGCCGCCCUGUUUCUAAACCUGCGCGCCAGGGAGAGGGCGUUGGGGCCGAGCCGGGGCCGAGGCGCAACCCUCCGCCCUCCGCGUGCCCUUCUCCCAGGGCCGGCACCCAGCCAUUAGGGUCCCCAACCGAGCCCGCCCUGAGCUGCCGGAGGCCGGGAGAGCGCGGACCAGGUGGUGGAUGCGCGUCGCCCCCCUGUGCCGUCCCCCGGCGCGCUUAGCCAAAGGCCCGGGGGCUUCCCAGCCGUGCUGCACCCCGCGUCAGGGUCAGUGCGCUCUCGGCACCCGCCAGCGCCUCCCCGGCAGCUCUCAGCCAGCCAGGUGUCAUCCUGCGCGCUCACGCUCUGGAAACUCAACUGCAGCAGAGAAAGGGAGAACGUGGGAGAAAGCCUGGGGCGGCUCUUGAGACUUUCUCUGCGGGCGCGGGUCAGAGAGGCAGGGGGCGGCACAGCGACAGCACACGGAGUCUUGUUUUCUGCCUGCCCUUUCCCCCAGCGGAGGGACAGUCAAAUACUUUAGGGACACAGGACUCAGUGGCGUACUUCUGUGCUUGCUGUGCAGUGCCUCCAAAAAGGUGUGCAUGUGUGCGUGUGUGUGCGGGUGGCAGUCUAAGGGGAAAGAACAUUGAGUUUAGACUCAGGCAAUUUGGUCUGUGGUCUCUACUCUGCCACCAGCAACUGUGAGACCUUGUUUGCUGCCCGCGGCUUCCUCAACUUUAAAUCCAGCGGGUAGAUAAUCCCCGAGGUCCCUCCAGAUAUAACUUGUUAUCAUUUUUCUUGCACUGAUUUUAGGGAGUCGGCCUUCCAUGUUAGAUGCUUAGGUGCCAGGUUUCGGAAAACAUGGGAUCGGCGUUAACCUGGCUAAGUCAUUGCAUCCGCAGCCGCAACUCUGAGGAGGCUCUGCCGUGUGAGCUGUGCUUGGAAGGAGGAGGAUUUCCCCCAACACUUCUUAUUUUUAACUACUCCUCCCAUCUCCCAAGGGGGAAAGGCUGCUUUUUUUCAGAGCUUCAGUGGGAGGGGAGGAGAGGGGGCUGCCCCCAAGCCCUGAGAUCAGCUGAGGCAGGGUUGGUGAGGGUCUUGUUAAUAGUCCCCACAGAAUAAUUCACAGUCUGUACUGCAUGGUUACCAAAUAUUCCCCGGACGGUAUCUGAGCAGAUUAGGCAGGCCAAACAACUUGUAAGUCCUUCAGAGAAUGAUCAAAUUCCUCUCCAAGAUUUUAUCGGGUUUCUUCCACUAACCUAACUGCCCAGGAGGGAAAAGAUACACUGACCUAAUGGUCAGAACAUUAGAUCUGACCAUUAGCAUAGGGGCUGCGUGGCACAGAAAUUGACCAGAGCCCUUUAAUCACGGUGUGUCAACCCAGCCACCGGAACAGUGACAAAGUUCCAGGCAUGUGGACGAUAUCCAGAUGCGUGGACUCCAGGGAGCUGACUCCCCAGGUUGGAGCUCAGCAGAGGAGGCAAGAAUAGGGAGUUAGGAGUCAGUUCCAGGGAUCCAGACCUGGCCUGGUCACUUCCUUGCAGUGUGACCUUAGCCAUGUUACAAUCUCUCUAAGCCUUUUUUCUCACUUAUAAAAAGAGGCAACUGAACUAGAGAAACUCCUUGCGGGACCACAUGUUACUGACUUUUCUUUUCUUACUGUGCCAUAUGUAGCCGAGGGACUCAUUAAAGUUUCCUUAAAUGAAAUCAUGCUACAAGCAAUUUAUUAAACACACGGUUGUUGAGUACCUGCUAUAUACUAGGCAGGUACUAGGCUCUGGAAUCCAAAGAAUGAGUAGCACAGGUCUAUGUCCUCCAGGUGUUUGGCAUGAGAAAGGUGUUAAGAAUUCACACGAGGAAGAAAUAGAAAUGACUAGGUCAGAGCAGAUGGGAAAAAAUUCUCUGAAAAGGUGAUGGCUUUUAAACUGAUUUUAAAGGAAGGGUAGCAGUUAGCUAGAGAGGAGGGCCGUUGUAUGCGCCAAGGAAAGAAAAAGGAAUGUUUGGUGGUGGUUGGACAGUAGGAUUUUGGGGGUGAAUGGGGGCAUGAGACUGGAAAGGAAGCUUGGGGCUGUAUGAUAAAGGGCCUUGAAUUCCAGAUUCAGACAUUCAGACCUUAUUGUGUAGUUUAAAGCCAUCGAUGUCUCUUCUUUUCACCUCUUCCUCUCCCAGACUCCCUCACCUAGGGCCUAUAUUCAGAGGUCGAAGCCUAUGGUGUCAAAGUAUGGAAAUGGAGCUAUACAACGCUAACUUUUAAAAUCCCUUAGUACCACAUCAUUGAUCUCUAGACUGAUGGGUUAACAUAGCAGGUCCUGAAUUCAAUCAUUUCUUUUAACCCAUGUUGAGAUUCUGCCAUGUGUCAGGCCCAAGUCAGCUUCAUGGGCUAUACCACCCAUGACCUUUUUGUCACCAAGGGCUAAGACAAAGCUAGGACAAGCAAAACGUCAUGACUUAAAUAACACAUUCUUCUGUAGUGAACAGGUCUCCUGGUCCUCUCCAGAGGUAGGCUGGACAGUCACAGGCUGUAUGUAGUGUGUAUCCCUGUUCUCUGGCUGAUUGGCCACAACUCAAGGAUGGAUCUAAAUACUAACCAGGGACUUGGCGUUGUGGCUUGUCAGGCAAUGAUGAACUGGGCCACUCAGCUUCUUUCAUUGCAGUUUGAAUUAAGGAACGUGAAAAAUGGGAAUCACUAGCCGUGGCUGCUGAAACAAAAAGGGAUUGCAGUGUCGGGCUGGAAAUGCCACGUGUAAAAGUGAUUAAGGUUAUUCACAAUUUUUUAGGUUUUCUCCCCAGUCAAUGUCGUGGUAGCAUUGUACAUCCCACCCAAUUAAGUUGGCUGUGGCCAUUUGACUUGCUUUGGCCAAGGAAACGUGAGCAGAAAUGACUUCUGGUGGAUACUUAAAGAGCUCACGACUAACCAUGUUCAUUUUUCAAGACUGUGGCUGCUCUGUCAUUGUGGGUUUUCAAGUGGCUCCCUCUUUCCCCCCAACUAACCCUUGGUGGACAUGUAGUGAGAAUAAGAUAUAAAUCUUUGUUAUUUUAGGCCACUGAGAUUGGGGGUUGUUUGUUACUGAAGCAUAACUAGCUUCUCCUGACUAAUACAGCACAAUAGGCAUGCAUCAGCUAAGUUAUGAAAAAGCAGAGAAGUGAUUAUAGAGAAAGAAUGAAGCAGGCAUAUCAAGAUAAACAGAAGCACCAUUUAGAGAAAGAGAUUGGGAGAAUAUGACCAAAUUUCAGUUCCAGGGGUCCUUAUAAUAACCCCCUGUAUUUCUUGAGGUUACAUAAGCGAGUCUAUAUUCCUUGAAAGUAAAAAGCUUACCAAAUCAUGGUGGCAUGACAGCCUGC
rnacentral:lncRNA from 1 species